rnacentral:rRNA from 1 species
AGACUUUGAUCAUGGCUCAGAUUGAACGCUAGCGGGAUGCUUUACACAUGCAAGUCGAACGGCAACACGAAGAAAGCUUGCUUUCUUUGGUGGCGAGUGGCGAACGGGUGAGUAAUGUAUCGGAACGUACCCAGUAGCGGGGGAUAACUACGCGAAAGCGUGGCUAAUACCGCAUACGCCCUACGGGGGAAAGGGGGGGAUCUUAGGACCUCUCACUAUUGGAGCGGCCGAUAUCGGAUUAGCUAGUUGGUGGGGUAAAGGCCCACCAAGGCAACGAUCCGUAGCUGGUUUGAGAGGACGACCAGCCACACUGGGACUGAGACACGGCCCAGACUCCUACGGGAGGCAGCAGUGGGGAAUUUUGGACAAUGGGGGCAACCCUGAUCCAGCCAUCCCGCGUGUGCGAUGAAGGCCUUCGGGUUGUAAAGCACUUUUGGCAGGGAAGAAACGGCGCUGACUAAUACUUGGCGCAACUGACGGUACCUGCAGAAUAAGCACCGGCUAACUACGUGCCAGCAGCCGCGGUAAUACGUAGGGUGCAAGCGUUAAUCGGAAUUACUGGGCGUAAAGCGUGCGCAGGCGGUUCGGAAAGAAAGAUGUGAAAUCCCAGAGCCUAGCUUUGGAAUGGCAUUUUUAACUACCGGGCUAGAGUAUGUCAGAGGGGGGUAGAAU